CAGGGCAGCAGGACAGCAAUAAGAAGGACCAUCUGAGGACUAAUCAACACAUUCCCCUGGAAAAACAGUGCAUUAAGAGACAGAUAUAUCUUGUGCAUCAACACUCUCCCGGGGAACAUGAAAUUCUGCCUUGAAGUCCCAGCAAAUUUAUCAAAGCCGGCAGAGAGUGUGGAAUCUGUGUUUGGCCUCCAGCUCUAACAGUAUCAGAGCUAUUUUCCUUCUCUGCAGUGUUCUUCU